rnacentral:sRNA from 1 species
GAGCCUUGUUUAACCUCCAGCAGCCUGCUUGUUUGGGCUCUGGACUUCCCUCGAGGCAAGAUUU